rnacentral:rRNA from 1 species
UACAGAGGUCCCAAGCGUUGUUCGGAUUCAUUGGGCGUAAAGAGCUCGUAGGCGGCUUGUCGCGUCGGAUGUGAAAGCCCGGGGCUUAACUCCGGGUCUGCAUUCGAUACGGGCAGGCUAGAGUGUGGUAGGGGAGAUCGGAAUUCCUGGUGUAGCGGUGAAAUGCGCAGAUAUCAGGAGGAACACCGAUGGCGAAGGCAGCUCACUGGGACGGUACUGACGCUGAGGCGCGAAAGCGUGGGGAGCAAACAGG